UACAGAGGGUGCAAGCGUUAAUCGGAAUUACUGGGCGUAAAGGGCGCGUAGGCGGAUGAUUAAGUUAGAUGUGAAAUCCCUGGGCUUAACCUAGGAACUGCAUUUAAUACUGGUUAUCUGGAGUGCAGUAGAGGAUAGUGGAAUUUCCGGUGUAGCGGUGAAAUGCGUAGAUAUCGGAAGGAACACCAGUGGCGAAGGCGGCUAUCUGGACUGACACUGACGCUGAGGCGCGAAAGCGUGGGGAUCAAACAGGAUUAGAAACCCCAGUAGUCC
rnacentral:rRNA from 1 species